AUUGAACGCUGGCGGCAUGCCUUACACAUGCAAGUCGAACGGUAACGGGCCUUCGGGUGCCGACGAGUGGCGAACGGGUGAGUAAUACAUCGGAACGUGCCCGAUCGUGGGGGAUAACGAGGCGAAAGCUUUGCUAAUACCGCAUACGAUCUACGGAUGAAAGCAGGGGACCGCAAGGCCUUGCGCGGACGGAGCGGCCGAUGGCAGAUUAGGUAGUUGGUGGGAUAAAAGCUUACCAAGCCGACGAUCUGUAGCUGGUCUGAGAGGAUGAUCAGCCACACUGGGACUGAGACACGGCCCAGACUCCUACGGGAGGCAGCAGUGGGGAAUUUUGGACAAUGGGCGCAAGCCUGAUCCAGCCAUGCCGCGUGCAGGAUGAAGGCCUUCGGGUUGUAAACUGCUUCUGUACGGAACGAAAAGCCUUCUUUUAAUACAGGAGGGUCAUGACGGUACCGUAAGAAUAAGCACCGGCUAACUACGU
rnacentral:rRNA from 1 species